rnacentral:lncRNA from 1 species
AUUCAAACAGCGGAUAAUACAAGCCAAAGUUUUCUUUCUGUGGAAAAGUUGAUGCGCCUUUUAAGAAGUGAACAACCAAGUUAUUUGCCUGGAAAAGUCUCCUGAAAUACUGAAGUUAUGCUAAAGAAGAAGAGAAAGGAAGCUGCAGUCCCUGUAUAACUCCUAAAUUUUUAAUUUGGAGUUCCUCUUCUUCGGUGCAACAAUCUUUCUGCAUGCACAGAUCCAUGUGGCACUCAUCUCAUCAUUCUGAGGGAAGAAAGAUGCAUAGGGAAUGUUGCAUGUGGUUAUUUCUGCAGAACCCACAGAAAACAAUAAAGCACGAGAGAAAAGAGGAUGGCAGUUUACCCAGGAAACAUAGGUUGUGCAAAGCUUUGCAAUGAUACUCUCAAUUCAGAGCAAUGAAGAACAGAAUGCUGUCUUCCCAUAAUGAUGGCAUUCAAUUAUCACUAGACUUACAAGACUACAGAAAAUUUCUCAAGAACCAGUAAGGAUCAGACAGAGCCAAUGACAAUACUGAAGAAGCUUGCCAGUGGAGAAUGAAAGCUCAGUUACACAAAUUACGUUGUUGAACCAGUGCCAGAAAUAAAAUGUGAUGGACAAACUCAUUAAUUAUGAGCGUG